UGAGGCGAACCGGGGGAACUGAAACAUCUAAGUACCCCGAGGAAAAGAAAUCAACCGAGAUUCCCCCAGUAGCGGCGAGCGAACGGGGAGGAGCCCAGAGCCUGAAUCAGCAUGUGUGUUAGUGGAAGCGUCUGGAAAGGCGCGCGAUACAGGGUGACAGCCCCGUACACAAAAGCGCAUGUGCUGUGAGCUCGAUGAGUAGGGCGGGACACGUGGUAUCCUGUCUGAAUAUGGGGGGACCAUCCUCCAAGGCUAAAUACUCCUGACUGACCGAUAGUGAACCAGUACCGUGAGGGAAAGGCGAAAAGAACCCCGGCGAGGGGAGUGAAAAAGAACCUGAAACCGUGUACGUACAAGCAGUGGGAGC
rnacentral:rRNA from 1 species